rnacentral:misc_RNA from 1 species
GGAACGUAUAAGUUCAAUAUACAUGGAUGAAUCAUCAGAUUCCGUGUUUGGCUUGAGUGAAGAUGCAGACUUCCCACUGGUUAGGAUGGCAGAUGUUCUAUUUGCUGAGAGAAUGAAGAACACAAUAAGGGAAUGGCGUGAUAGUUUGUUAAGCAAGGGAAGCAGUAGCUCUGAAAUUAAACAAAUAUCAACUGAUCCAAGUCAGAGAUUUCAAAUGGUUUUCUUCAAGACCCGUCCAGGCAUUGCCCUUAGUGAUUUUACUUCUCGCCAACUAAGGGUGAUUAAAGCGGUCACUAAAAAGCAUUUCAAAGAUCUCGCCUAUAUCCGAGUAGCAGGUGAAUCAACAUCUCCACAGCAAUUGAUUGUCUAUACAGAUUCCAAUGAUGACAGAGAUCUACUGAUGAAAGAGGUGAAGGAUGGCCUUCGUAAAGAAGCGGAAAUGAAGGUCGAAUCUGCUGUUGGAUUUCGACAUGUUAUUGAUCUUCUUUCAUCAGAGCAAAAGUUGAUUAUCGGUCACAAUUGCUUUCUUGAUGUGGCACAUAUGUACAGUAAAUUCAUUGGUCCACUACCUUCAACCGCUGAGGAUUAUGUAUCUUCCCUUCAGAAGCUCUUUCCUACCAUAGUGGACACCAAGAUACUCUUGAAUGCAAACGGUGUUUUUCGACAGACUUUAAAUAAAAGCAACACCUCACUAUCCAGAGCAUUUGUCUCUAUCUGUCCUCAUAUUGCUUUAGGUAUCAAAACAUCUAGUUUGGCUGAUAGACCGUGUGUAGAAGUGGAGGUUCAAGUAGAUGAAAAAAGAUCCUCGAACUGGAACUCAGGAGCCAAGCAUGAAGCUGGCUAUGAUGCAUUCAUGACUGGAUGCAUUUUUGCACAGGCGUGCAAUCAUCUAGGCAUUGAUUUCACCCUCCAUGUGCUUGGUGGAGAUUUAGCGAAGGAUACAAAGCUUCAGAAUUAUAUCAAUCGCCUUUACCUUAGCUGGGUUAGUGGUAACGUCAUUGAUCUAAGUAGUGGGAAAUGUACACCAGACUCCUCAGCUUCUAGCAACCUCAAAAGUCGGUACCAGGAUAUCUCAUUUCCUAGCAUCAUUCUGUUGUGGGGAUUUCCAUCUAAACUAAAAGCAAGGGAGAUAAAAGCUUGUAUAACACAAGCCUUUGGCCCAAAUCCUGUUUCUUCUGUCUACCACUUGGAUGAAAGUGCUGUGUUUAUUCAGUUUAGCAAGCCAGAACUGGUUUCUAAGUUUCUAGAAAUGAAGGAAACUCUAAGUAGGAACAGUGAUCCAAUUUCUGUGUUGCAUCCUCUUUCAAACAUUCUGAACGGGGAACACACUCAUGCAGCUACCUACGAUGUGUAUAAACAAAUUUGCAGUUCAUCCAUCUCAAAGAAAUUAUUUGCAGAUCA